rnacentral:lncRNA from 1 species
UCAAUCAAAUUUCAUGGCUUUAGCUACAACAAUUUCAUCAUUCACACCAUUCAAUCAAAAUUCAUAGGUUUAACAUCAACAUUUUCAUCAUUCAUAGAAUUCAAUCAAAUUUCAUGGCUUUAACAACAACACUUUCAUCAUACACACAAUGCAAUCAAAUUUCAUGUUAACAUCAACAUUUUCAUCAUUCACAAAAUUCAAUCAAAUUUCAUGGGUUUAAAAACAACGUUUUCAUCAUUCACACAAUUCAAUCAAAUUUCAUAGGUUUAACAAAUUUCAUGGCUUUAACAACAACAUUUUCAUCAUUCGCACAAUUCAAUCAAAUUUCAUGGGUUUAACAACAACAUUUGCAUCAUUCACACAAUUCAAUCAAAUUUCAUAGGUUUAAUAUCUACCUUUACAUCAUUCAUACAAUUCAAUCAAAUUUCAUGGCUUGAACAACAACAUUUUCAUCAUUCACACAAUGCAAUCAAAUUUCAUGGGUUUAACAUCUACCUUU